rnacentral:rRNA from 1 species
GGGUCAGUAGGUUGGUCGUGCCACCGGUACGUACUGGUCUUACUGAUUCCUCCUUCCUGAAGAACCGUAAUGCCAUUAAUUUGGUGUUGCGGGGAAGCAGGACUGUUACUUUGAAAAAAUUAGAGUGUUUAAAGCAAGCUAACGCUUGAAUACAUUAGCAUGGAAUAAUGAAAUAGGACGAUCGAUCCUAUUUUGUUGGUUUCUAGGAUUGACGUA